rnacentral:tRNA from 2 species
UCCUGGUUAGCUCAGUUGGAAGAGCGCUCCGCUGGAAAUGGAGAGGACCCUGUUCAAUACAAGAACCAGGUG